CUGUUUCUGAGGGAAGUGGCUAUCCAUGGUGGAUGUUCCAUAAAUGUUUAAGAUUAGGUAUGAUUCAAACAGAGGGUAGCAGAGCUUGUACAGCCAGGAAAAUGAUCUUCAAAAAAAAGGACCUAAGGCUCUACGGACAUGCUUCUUCUACAUUAAGAAAAUAUUACAAACUGCAUAUAGACAGCAUUGUGCACAUUGUGUUGCCUGCGUGUAUGUGUGUGUGAUGGGCUGAAAAUAAUGUUACACAGUAAACUGUUGCUGCAUCUGCUGAGGUUAGGUUUGUAGAGGGAGGUGGAGAAGGAAAGACAGUGGCAUCAUUCUUAUUCUGUUCCUGAGGCUUCUGUUGCUGCCUCCCACCUACAGGGAGGGGCUCCUGAACUGGUUCAAGUAAAGCCCCAAAAAGAAUGGAAACCCAGGGAGGCAGGGAGCCAAGGAGGUUUAGGAGCUAAAUUGCUCUCAGCCGUAAGGUCAGAUGAGUUGAGUUUCUUAGGACAUCCAAAAGGAGGAGUCUAAAAAGUAAGGAGGGAAAGAUGAACUGUGCCUAAAUUAUUGCGUGCAUGAGGGACACAGAAGUGACCAUGAGAAGCAAGAAGGGUGAUCGGGAGACAUUCCUGGUGAGCAGAGGGCCAAACUCUUUUCAGUGGAGGGCUGACGGAUGUGAAAUCUGGUCUGUGUCUUCAGGUGACCCUCCAAGGCCUGAGCCUUCCGUGAAGUGUGCUGUCAGCCCAGCGGCCUUGCCGAGGAAUUGGGGGACGGUCAAGGAAAGGGCAGCAUUUUACCUGACAUUUGAGGGACAUGGCCAUCCAUAGUCAAUGGGCUUGUGGUGACGUGGAGCUCUGAGCAGGAAGUGACCAUGAAAACCGAGGAAGUAACAAGAAGCGUGUGGCCAAGUCCAGCUUGACAAGGGAGGGUCACCUCCCCUGAUAUUUAGGAAACUAAAUGAACACAGCACCUAGAAAAAAAGGCUGGACAGAGAUCCAUUUUUAAUGGUUUUACCUCUAGGUGUUGAAUGGUGUUUAUUCUUUUAUUUUGUGCUUCUCCUUCCUUUCCAAAUGUUUUACAGUGACUCCUGUUACUUUUGAAAUGGGGGAUGGAGGAGCUCAGUGCUGUUUCUCGAGGUGGCAGAGGCUGUUUACUGGAUGCAUUUUUUUUUAUGCAGACUACUUCCGUUUCUGGGUUUACGAGCUUGGCUGGAACAUUUGUGGAUAGGCUCUUACAAAUUUGCCAGCAUCAGCUGUGCCCCUCAGCAUCCUCAGACCCCUAUUGCCCUCCCUGUGCCCCCGACCGUUCAGCGGGAGCUUGGAGCAAUAAACACAGAAAAGAGGGGCCAAGGCUGGGUUAGUUCCUCUGAUGUCCUCCCUGGAUUCUCACUGGAGCCUGGGAUGGAGGAUAGGCUCUGUAGCUGCUAGCCAGGGGAAGCAGAAUUCCUCCUUGCCUUUCAGAGGAGGAAGAAAGUCACUUUGCAAACCUCAGACCAAAGCAGAUGUGUCCUUAUUUUAAAGACUGAAGAUCUAAGGGAGUAGGUUGAGAUCUUGAAGAAAAAAAGAAAGUGCUACGGGUCAGUAUCUGGGGAGAAGCAGCCUUCCAUCAGCACGGAUCGCAAACAUUUGCUCAAGGUACGUGUGAACAGGAUGCUGUGAACCAUCCAGAAGGUGAUAUUUGUUCCUCCAUCCUUGUGUGGCUCUGGGGGCGGUGGGGGCAGCAGAUUGGAACUGCUCUGGUUCUCUCGGUUCCCAUCUGCACACACAUCCCUGUCUGUUCUCCUCGCUUGUCUGCUCCUCGUUCUUCCUGCUGGACCGGAAAUGACGUAGGGAUGGGAGCCUGGAUCUCAUAGCAUCCUCCACUGUAUCGAUGCAGAGAGGGAAGCCAAACCGUGUGUGUUGAAGGAGGAAUAAAUGGGCCACAUGAGCUAAAUAAAUAAGGAAAGGAUGUUUUAUUUCCAUGUAAACCUGAGAAUCCUGUGCCUGUUAUGGCACCAGGGGGAGAGGAGGAGACUGAUGGAGACAGAAGCCAAGGGUCAGGCUCCACCCCUUGGAUGAGAAAACAUUUGGGGGAGGCUAGAUUUAGGAGUGUAUGUUGAGAUCUGCUGGAGGGUGAUUUUAUCUCUUCUGUAGCUUUGGGGAGGCGGUGUGGUGGGUGUUUUUGUCAGCAGCUCUAAUUCUGGCCUCUGCAUCCCAGGUAACUUGUAUCUGCCAUCUGCAAUAUAGAACUCUCAUCAAAGUAUACAGUAGGUGUUAGAUUCUGGCCAGGAUUCAAAUCCCAUCUCAGAUGCUCACUGGCUCGGGGGAAAGCUGAGAUGCCUGGAGUGUAGUGGCUGCUCCGUAAAUGCCCCUGGGAGCUGUCCCCGCAAUUCGGUGGUAUUCUGUGGAAUCACCAGUGUUGGGAUGUUCGGGCCUGAUCAUCCCAAGCUUAUUUCUGCCCCCAAAGUGUUUCUUUAAACUUCCAAUAUUCCUUUAGGCUUCCAGUGCAGGAAAACUGAGAUUCUUGAGAUUGAGUGGUUACUUCAUAUUUUUUCCAUACGUAGACAUAGAAAAUAUGCAGGGGGAGUUCCUGUCGUGGCUCAGUGGUUCACGAAUCCAACUAGGAACCAUGAGGUUGCGGGUUCAAUCCCUGGCCUUGCUCCGUGGGUUAAGGAUCCGGCGUUGGCGUGAGCUGUGGUGUAGGUCGCAGACGUGGCUCGGAUCCCGCAUGGCUGUGGCUGUGGCGUACGUAGGCCAGCAGCUACAGCUUGGAUUCGACCCCUAGCCUGGGAACCUCCAUAGGCCAUGGGUGUGGCUCUAGAAAAGGCAAAAAAGAUUAAAAAAGAAAAUAUGCAGGGGGAGAGUGAGAGCUGCGUGCGGGGGAGGUGGUGGAGGUGGGCUGUGACCCCAUAUGCACUGGCUGGGUGGCACGACCAGACCACACUGGUCGCAUGUGGAAGAAGCAAUAGGUAUGAAUCACUCCCUCAUGCCCGCAGGUGCAAGACACGCACCUCUCUUGUCCGUUAUGCGCUUGUAUCUAAUGAGAGUCUUAGAAAAAAAUCUCCCAGUGCCACACACCUGAAUUGUGAAUGGUUAUCAUCUCACCUAACAGCUGUCAACGCUUUGCCGCUUCUGGGUUCCAUAAAUAACCACCAAGACGCUUGGUUGGUUGGACCCAGGGCUUGUUAUUAACCCAUAAACAGUGUGCCCUGGGGGUCGUCAGCCGGGACGCUCAGAAUCUAAGCUGUGCCCUUGGUGGGAAAUGUCCCACGUCUUUAAUAAGCCAUCAUUGCAGAAUAUUAAGAAUACAGAGUCCAUCCAGGAGGCUGCAGAGCUGGAAUAGAUCCCAUAACCCACAUAAAGUGUUCUAAAAACGACAGCCCCCUGAGCACAUCUGCUGCCUUGCAUUUGAAAGGCACCGGCUCUGCUGGAACACAGCCUUCCUGAAGGAGGCUCAUGUUUUGCAGUCUAAUUUGCAAUUCUACAGUUUUAUGCAGAAAAGCACCCAUCAGUAUGUUAAGCACAAUGUAUGCAGUUUAUGGUGUUGAUGGCUGUUAGGUGCUUCGUGGGAUGUAAUAAAAAUCUGUGGGAUGUAAUGAAAUGUCAUGUGGGGUUUUAUCUUCUCAUGGCUUGAUGGAGAGCCCGUGCCUGUGUGUCCAGAUCAAAGAAAGCUCCCAAGACGGACCUCUGCGGCAGUGUCAGAUCUCAGUGUGACUCGCAGCCCCGCCGCCGCUUGGUAGGUCUUGGAAUUGAAUCUGGGAGACGUGAAGUGUCCAGUCUAAGAUGACAAGGUGGCAGAGCUGGGACUGGCCGCCUUUUCCGCUGGCCUGAAGGGCCCCUGCCCCACUGCUUUGGUGCCGAGCCCGGGAAGAAUAGGAAAGCAACAAGUGCCAGGGCCUCCUGGAGGCAGAGAGUGGCGGAGGGGGAGGGGAGGCAUACUGAUGGGCUACACCCGCUCCGUGUUGGAGUCCCUGCCCAGCAGACACAGGCUUGUGUGGGCGACAGGGGUCUGGAAGGGCUGCUGAAUGUCACUCCCACCCCCACCUUGGAGGAUAGGUCAAGGUCGGCUGUGUAGUUAAUUCCAGAUGUACGUGAUUCAGACGAAAUGCAAGACCCUCCUCUGGGGCCGCUGGCAGCCUCACCUCCUGCUUUGUCCCCUGAUGCCUGUGGCAUCGCCCACACCAGGGAAGUGUAUAGUUUUCCCGAUGAGGACAAGACAGCCAGCCCCUCUUGCCACUCUCUAUGCCAGUACUUGUCACCCACAUACUAGUAUCAUCAGAGUGAUGGGAAACCCCAAACCUUGUGGGCAAGGUGAGUCAGGAGAGUGUGCACCUGAGGGCCCGUGUAGGAUUUUGAUUGGUGGAAAGGAGGUGGGAGGACCACGGUUAAAGAUGCAGGAGGCAGUAGGAGGCAGGGAGCCUGGAUCGGGAGGGCAGGACCACCCCACAGAGGGCCAGGCAUCCUCUGCCCACUCGAAGUGAUGGGCGCUUUGCAGCUUCCUCUGAUGGGGAGUCAUCAGCUGGAAGGAGCAUCAGAAGGCUGGGCUUUCUCCACUGGGGACCCAACUGCGGAGUCGGGGCUGGAGGAGCUAGAGUGGAAAAGAAGCAGCGUUUAAAUGUCAGAGUGCCUCAAAUAUCUUUUCAAAAUACACCAGAUACAAGAAGAUACAUCACUCUGCAAUCUGCUUCGUCACUUCUCAUUUCAGAGUUGAACUUGAAUGAACUCUAAGAGGGGGCAGAGGUGGAAGACUUGGCUAUAAGUGAUACCAAACCCUAUGGCUGAGUCACUGGCUGUCCCGUAAACAGGAGCCCAGUUCUUACUGGCUGUAUUCAUCCGUCUGCACCUUAUUCCCUCAGUCCUUCCCCAGAAUUCCUAUUCUUUUUGCAAACAUAAAUUCUUGGAGUUCCUGUCGUGACUCAGUAGAAACGAAUUUGACUAGUAUCCAUGAGGACGCAGGUUUGAUCCCUGGCCUCACUCAGUGGGUUAAGGAUCUGUCAUUGCCGUGAGCUGUGGUGUAGGUCGCAGAUGCGGCUCGCAUCUGGUGUUGCUGGGGCUGUGGUGUAGGCUGGCGGCUUCAGCUUGGAUUCAACCCCUAGCCUGGGAACUUCCAUUUGCCAUGGGUGUGGCCCUAAAAAAUUUUUAAAAGAGAGAAAAAAUAAUAAUUGUCAAUUCUUUAAGGGUAACGGCAUUCGGGAGCUGAGCUUUCAGAAUAUGUCUUCUAAAAUUUAGCAUCCUUGGCAGGUGCUCUCCACACAGCAGACACAUCCCCGCCAGGCUAAUGAUGAAAUGGGUUGGGGUCCAGCCCUGUAGGAUCCCAGCAUUCCUGAGCCUUGAUGGGGCUCAGAGGCGCCGUCUCUGUAGCACCCACCCAGGCAGACACGCAGGAGCUGCCCGAUGUCUUCCCGGGCAGGUCCCAUCAAGCCCUGUUCUAGGAAGUGGCCCAGUGACACCAGCGCCCAAGAGGUAGAAACUGGAGGAGGUCACUUUUGAGCAUUGCUCGCCUUGCAGUGGGAACAGAGGUGGUGCCAGGGAGGCGGAAGGAAGACAAGGUGGAAUGUGAGGCAGCAGCUCUGUGAGGCGGCCCUUUUGAGCCCUGCAAGGACGGGGGACUUUUGUCUGGUGGCCCUGAGAUGGACACAGACCCUGUCCUGGACCUGGGGUCCGGCUGGCCGUGGUGCCGGGCGUCUGGGCGGCUCCUUGCUGACAACCUUUCUAACUGAGCCUGUAUUUGUCUCGCCUUCUGGCAGAUAUUUUCCAUAUGGCAUUUGGCGUAUUUUUAGCCUCGAUUCAAAUCAUUUCCUUCAGAAGAUGAGAUCGUUUGCCAAGAUAUCACAGGGAAAGGUGGGUGACAAAGUUAGAAGUUGAUUACGUUUUUUGAAAGGGCUCUAGAAGUUUUAUUCUGAAGGAACCACCAAAUCUGACUCCCAUCAGGCUUGAGAAACCUGCUUCUGAAAAUCUGGGUGUCCCAGAGCUCCUCUGACCCAUGACCUGAAAAGCCUUUUUCUAACAUGUAAAAGAUGCUGUGAUGACAAGUCUUCUUUUUUUCUUUUUUUUUGGUCCUUUUGUUUUUUUAGGGCCGCACCCACGGCAUAUGGAGGUUUCCAGGUUAGGGGUCGAAUCGGAGCUGUAGCUGCCGGCCUAUGCCAGAGCCACAACAUGGGAUCCAAGCCAUGUCUGCAACCUACGCUGCAGCUCCCAGCAAUGCCGGAUCCUCAACCUACUGAGCGAGGCCAGGGAUUGAACCCACGUCUUCAUGGAUGCUAGUUGGGUUUGCGAAUCACUGAGCCACGGCGGGAACUCCUAGAGGCUUCUUGCAAAGGCAAAUAUCUGUGGGAUCAUCAAAUUUUGUACAGCAUCAAAAAAAAAAAGCUAAGAAAUGACACUGUUGAAUACAGAAUGAUGACUGGCCAACAGGGACCUGCUGCACAGCACAGGGAGCUCUACCCGAUAUUCUGUGAUAACCUAUAUGGAAAAGCAUCUGAAAAAGAACGG
ensembl:lncRNA